GUGUACGUAGCUUAAUGGCAGAGCGUACCCCCAAUCCAGUAUUUGCCCAACAUAGCGGGGAUACUGGCCGAUGGGUAAGAUCCGGGUUCGAGUCACGGUGUACACC
rnacentral:tRNA from 1 species